AGGGAUACAAGUACAUUACUUUGUGUCGGGAGGUAGUGGUAUGAAUACAUGUACAUUCCUUUGUGUCAGGAGGUAGGGAUACAAGUACAUUACUCUGUGUCAGGAGGUAGUGGUACAAAUACAUUACUUUGUGUCAGGAGGUAGGGAUACAAGUACAUUCCUUUGUGUCAGGAGGUAGGGGUACAAGUAUACAUAUCUUUCUAGCAGGAAGUAGUGAUAUACAUAUUUUUUUGUCCUCAGGAGGUAGUGGUAGUAAUAUUUUAAAGAAUGCACCAGUAAAGUAAGAUUCAACCUGAUAGUAAUUGAAUAAAAAAAAAAAAAUACUUUCAUAAAAAUGCCAGGGGCUGUAUAUUUUGAGGAGAGAAUGCUGUUACUAAUAUGUAAAUGGUUCAGAACAUUUCACAAAACCUGUAUUUUUUAUCACAACAUGAGCCGAUUGUUGGAGAUUUUCUUUAUGUACACUUAUAUACAAGCUUUAAUUACAUGUUUAAGUACAUGAUAACAGAGAAAUCCAAUGAUUAUCCUUGAAGAAUUUGAUAGCUAUCUCUUCUAUUUAAAGUAGAGACCAUCACGACUUUAAAGUACAUGCAUAAAAAUAUCUAGAUUGUAAAGCAGUAUUAUUUAAUGGUAUGUUGAUGGUUUAACCUGGGGGUACAUGUAUAUGGACAUUAUGUAGGCAUUACGUGAGGUUAACACUAGUACUGGCUGGGUCAUACUCCAGUAAUCUGAUCUCAAACUGGGACACACUAACGUAGCGUCAAGUUUAUUCUUUACUUGGUGACAUAGUUUUCAAAAGUAAAACAGACACAAGUAGCUGCCUUGCCUGACAUCACUUUAACAGUGGUGUAUCAACAAGGAAACAACACAAUAACAGCUGGAGUGGUUGUUACUUACACAUUAGGAUCAAGUCACAAUGGAAAAAAAGGAAUCCUGUCCUUUUGUUUGACACAUGUGAACAGACUCUCAACCCUCAGAAUAAGGUUUCUUAUAAACAGAAAGUUAAACUCGUACAACCUCAACCCUGGGAAUCAAAUUCCUGAUACAUGUAGCUAGAGGGUCGAUUAGAUUAACUCUCAGAGUGAGUUCCUGAUACAUGUAGCUAGAUGGUCAAUAAGAUUAACUCUCAGAGUGAGUUCCUGAUACAUGUAGCUAGAUGGUCAAUAAGAUUAACUCUCAGAGUGAGUUCCUGAUACAUGUAGCUAGAGAGUCGAUUAGAUAAACUCUCAGAGGGAGUUCCUGAUACAUGUAGCUAGAGGGUCGAUUAGAUUAACUCUCAGAGUGAGUUCCUGAUACAUGUAGCUAGAGGCUCGAUUAGAUUAACUCUCAGAGUGAGUUCCUGAUACAUGUAGCUAGAGAGUCGAUUAGAUAAACUCUCAGAGGGAGUUCCUGAUACAUGUAGCUAGAGGGUCGAUUAGAUUAACUCUCAUAGUGAGAUCCUGAUACAUGUAGCUAGAGGGUCGAUUAGAUUAACUCUCAGAGUGAGUUCCUGAUACAUGUAGCUAGAGGGUCGAUUAGAUUAACUCUCAUAGUGAGAUCCUGAUACAUGUAGCUAGAGGGUCGAUUAGAUUAACUCUCAGAGUGAGUUCCUGAUGACUACAGAAGGUACCUGGUUAGACACAUACCUGCAGCCACUUCAAGAUACCAGUGAUGAGAGUAUAAUUCUGACAGAAAUAUGCUGUAAAAAUCUUAUUCUUUUUUCCGGGGUCCCCAGUUUUUGCUAAAAUGGUCAAUUUUGUAGGUUUUAUUUUCAUUUUCACUGUAAACAACUACCAACUGUCCUCAAGAUGAACAGGGUAUAUAAACCUACUGGUAUUCAAUAUACAUGUAUACAAGUUAGAUAAUUACACGGCAAACAACUACAAGUUGUCCUCGAGAUGAACAGGAUGUUCACUAUAUAGGAGUGUCAGAUUACAUAUAAAUAGACUAUGUGAUGUAGAUUACAUAUAGAUAGACUAUGUGAUAUAGAUUACAUAUAGAUAGACUAUAUAUGUGAUGUAUAUUACAUAUAGAUAGACUAUGUGAUGUACAAGUCUGUAUUAUGAAGCUUGAGUAUGUGAUAAGACAAUAGCAGCUGAACAUUUGUUGGAUAUCUUUCUGUUGUUUUAUAUUAACAGAUUGAUAUAAACUGAUUAUGAAUAGGAGUAUUAAAGCUCUGUCGGACAUCCAUACAUUCAUUGUAAAUAAUUCACAGCUCCACAAUAGCCUCAUAAAUAUGAAAUGUAAAUAGUUACAGCACAUAGGAAAUUAGUUCCAUGUGUAAAUAAUAAUGUAGAAUUUCAUCCCAAUUUCAAUGAUAUUUUGCAUUUUACUUUGCAGUGAAAAUUUCAAUAACCAUUCUUCACCCCGCCCAAAGCAAAGGGGAGGUGUUUGCUAUACCCUUCAGGAUCAAAGGACGUUACGCAAAACAAAAAUCAGUGUUCACAUGCUAAGUGCCAGCCAUUUCAUCCAAACCUUCCUUCACAUGUUACAAGUGUUUGUCAGUUACUGCCUCAUGUUGGUUUUCAUGACGUACAACGCCUGGCUCUGCAUAGCUGUCAUUCUGGGCGCUGCAUCUGGCUACUUCCUGUUUGGCUGGCGACGGUCAAUUGUAGUAGACCUCAACGAACAUUGUCAUUAGCAUGCUCCGGGAACCAUGCUCCCAAUUUGUGAUUAAAAGUAUAUUAUAUAUGUAUUGCUAGGGCAAAAUAGCUAUAUGUAGCAUCAAUAAAAACAAUUACAUGCCUAAUCAUGUAUGGUUUUAAAAAGGGAAGGUAGGAGGGAGGAUUUUAUAAUAUGGGGAUGGGAAUUAUAGCUGAUGAAAGAAUGAAAACUGAGGCGAGAGGAGCGAGGAUUUGAAAUUGAACAAAGGGCAGAGAUGGAUGGUGUGAUUGUUUGUGAUAUUUAAUUGGUGAGGUUGUGUGACUGAGGGAAUGUUACUGUUGUAUCAUGAUAUUUAACCUAUAAAACUAUAAUCAAAUAAUUAACUUAAAGUCUAUCAAAUUGUUCUUCUGAAAGAAUUUAUCGAGAAUUAGCACAGUAUUAGAACUUGUACCGAGGUAUUAAUGUGAGCUGGAUAUUUUAUUAAUGGGAUUGGUUCAAGGUGCUAGAUUCUUGAUAUAACUACAUGUUGAUGAACUGUGUACAUAUUCUUAACCAAUUUUUGAAGAAUCUUCAAGUAGUAUUAUAGUAUAUUUAGGAGAAGGAAUCCUUAACGCAUGUGAUAGGCAAUGUCUCGUUGUAUUUGCUAUGGUAACUUAAACCAUUGACAUCAGGCAACAAAACCAUUUCAUAUAUGUAACCAUUGACAUGACCAUGUUUGUCCAGCAAUAGGCCCAUGCCUGGUAAUAAGCCCAUGCAUAGUUAUUGACCUUCAGUAGAAAAUCCAACAAAUGUUAUUUGAGUGUCCUAUAAUAGACCCCAUACAUUAGGUCAAACAUUAUGUUUUGACCUCCUGGGCUUAUUGCAGGAUAAAAACAACAGGUUGAAUAGAACUAUCAGCUUAAUUGAACUGUUAAAUCUACUUAAUAUAAUAAACCAAACACCAUCCCAUGAAACCUCUCUUAACCUAAACACAUCCAUAUGAUACCCUUUAAGUGAACAAAAUCAGGAUAAGACAAUCUUAACCAAACUUCAUCAGGAUAAGACAAUCUUAACCAAACUUCAUCAGGAUGAGGCUGUCUUAACUUACUAGUAGAGUCAUCCAGAUAAGAUCUGCCUAAAGCAAACACCAUCAGGGUGAAACUUUUUAAUCCAAACACCUACAGAUACGAAUGUCAACCAAUGUGAUGAACCUUUCUAACUUGUCACACAGCAGGAUCAAACCUAUCUAAGCCAAACACCAUCUAGAUGAAACCUUUAAAAAACAGACAUUUGAUUAAAACCAUCUACCAUUAGGACCAUUAAUAACUGGUUUUAGAUUCAUUAAGUACAACAAAAUGAAUGUAAUUAAUUAAUAUGAAGGUGUUUUUGUUUAUAUAUCUGUAUGCUGUAAACAUGCAUAGCAUUCAGGAUCAAACAGGCUUUGGUUUGGGCAGAUUACACUAGUGACUACCAGGUAUAUGUUUUUAAUAGAGAACUUGUUUUUUUUUUUUGGUCUUCCAACUCCUGGUCGAUAUGAGCUCAAAGCAACUGUGUAUAAGGUUGUGUUUGAUAUUGGAAGAGAUACUCGUGAAUUAAUUUGUAUAUUUUUGAGCAAUACAAAGGUUGAAUAUAAGACAUUUACUUAGUUGUUGAAUUAAUUACAUUUUAUAUGUACAUGUACCAGGAAGGGGAUUACAUAGAUAUUGUUUUUUAAACAUUUUCUUUUAAAUAUUCCAUUUACUUUUUAAUUUUAGAAAGAAUGGACUUUAAAGUUGCAUUCCUUCGAUUUAAGUUUUCUUUGUCAAAAACAUUGAAAGUAUUGUAUAAAGUUUAAUCUUGUAACAUUUCCUAUAAAUUUGAUGAUACUUGCAUAAAGACCAUUGAGGUCUCGAUGGAAACCUUUUGCAUCUACAGUCUACUGGGCAAAUUUGUUUACAAAAACAAAUGAUAUAUCAUGAUAACAGUCAAUUCACAAAUAGAAUCCCAAACAACUAUCAUACAUUGAUGUUACACCUUCUUACUAAUAGUGUCUAAUUGUUGCAGAUCUUGGUUACUGUUGACCAUGUGAGGCCUCCGAUAAUUGUCAAAACACCGAGAUUGCUCAAUGGUCAUGUGUCUAUACAUUUACGUUGCAUUGUAUUUGUAGCGAGCAUGUAUAAUUCAUAAACUGACUGGGUAAUGAAAUAAUGAGAAUUAGCCUGACAGAGGCAAACUGAACAAGUUAUACCUGUAAUUGUGAUGUACUGGAGGGAAUGGGACUGAACUGGUACACACUGGUAAUGUUGUAUAUGCUAUGUAAUAGUAUCAUUAC